rnacentral:tRNA from 1 species
GCCUGGGGAGCUCAGUCGGUUGGGCCUCUGUCUUCGGCUCAGGUCAUGGUCCGUGGGAUCGAGUCCCACCUCGGGCU